ACUUUACAAUGCGGGCAACCGUGAUAAGGGAACCUCGAGUGCCUGUAUAUGCAGGCUGUCCAGGUGUCUAAAUAACACCUGAAGAAAGGGCCGGGCAAGACCGGUGCCAGCCGCCGCGGUAAUACCGGCGGCUCGAGUGGUGGCCGCUUUUAUUGGGCUUAAAGCGUUCGUAGCUGGGUUAUUAAGUCUCUUGGGAAAUCCGGCGGCUCAACCGUCGGGCGUCUAAGGGAUACUGGUAAUCUUGGAACCGGGAGAGGUGAGGGGUACUUCGGGGGUAGGAGUGAAAUCCUGUAAUCCUCGAGGGACCACCUGUGGCGAAGGCGCCUCACCAGAACGGCUUCGACAGUGAGGGACGAAAGCUGGGGGAGCAAACCGG
rnacentral:rRNA from 1 species